rnacentral:rRNA from 1 species
CGGAGGGGCUAGCGUUGUUCGGAAUUACUGGGCGUAAAGCGUACGUAGGCGGUUAUUCAAGUCAGAGGUGAAAGCCCGGGGCUCAACCCCGGAACGGCCUUUGAAACUAGAUAGCUAGAGUCUUGGAGAGGUCAGUGGAAUUCCGAGUGUAGAGGUGAAAUUCGUAGAUAUUCGGAAGAACACCAGUGGCGAAGGCGACUGACUGGACAAGUACUGACGCUGAGGUACGAAAGCGUGGGGAGCAAACAGGAUU